GCUCAAGGCAAAACACGGGAAACCGCGUGGCGCAAAGCUAGAGGGGCUAAAGCGAAAGCUAAGCCAGCCAGCUACCAA
rnacentral:ncRNA from 1 species